AAGGUUUUCCCGGCUUCAAAGGCGACGUGGGAGCGAAAGGAGAGCGGGGCGAUGCCGGAGCUCCCGGCUCUCGCGGUGCCGACGGCCCCGAAGGCCCCAAAGGUCGGAUGGGAGCCGUGGGGGAACCCGGCCCCAUGGGGGCGCCAGGGGACAAGGGCAAACUGGGGGUGCCAGGACUUCCGGGUUACCCGGGGCGCCAGGGCCCCAAGGUGAGUGUGGGGCGGCCCCAUAAGUGCCCCUGCCCCAUAAGUGCCUUUGACCCCAUACAUCCCCUCGGCCCCAUAAUUGCCCUCUGCCCCAUAAGUGCCUUUGACCCCGUAAGUCCCCUCGGCCCCAUAAAUC